UACGUAGGUGGCAAGCGUUGUCCGGAUUUAUUGGGUUUAAAGGGUGCGUAGGCGGUUCUAUAAGUCAGUGGUGAAAUCCGGCAGCUCAACUGUCGAUGUGCCAUUGAUACUGCAGAACUUGAGUACAGACGAGGUAGGCGGAAUUGACGGUGUAGCGGUGAAAUGCUUAGAUAUCGUCGAAGAACACCGAUAGCGAAGGCAGCUUACUAGACUGUAACUGACGCUGAUGCACGAAAGUGUGGGGAUCAAACAGG
rnacentral:rRNA from 1 species